UGUCCUUCGACGCGGUGCGGGAGGCGCUGGGGGUGACACAGGAGGGCCACCUCGUCCCCUGCCUGGCCACCGUCCUGCUGGUGUGCCAGGUGGCCGCCUGGGCCUCCGAGCGCUCCGGCCACCACCUGGCCACCGCCUUGGACCAGCAACGUCACCAACUGGCCCAUUACCGUCACCUGGCCCACGCCACCCCCCCCCCCGAUGUCACCCAAGCCACCCGGGAGGCCUCGGUGGCCCAAGGGACGCUGGAGGAGGUGGCCGACCAGUUGCGGCAGCUACUGGGAGCACUGGAGGACGACCUGCAGGACGCCCGCGGCUUCCCCGCCACCACCCGCGCCUUGGGGACAGCCGCGGUGGCCUUGGGGACGGUGACCCAGGACGAGGAGGCGACACAGAGGCUGGCGGAGGCGCUGCGGGUGCUGCCCGGGGAGGUGGCGGGGCAGCCGUAGCCCCCCCGGUGACCUUGGGGACAGCGGUGUCACCCGGGGGCGUCCUGGGGUCCCCCUGGUCCUUUUUGGGGACUCUGAGGUGGCCUUUUGGGGACAGGGAGGGUGGCACUGUCCUUUGUCUCCUCGCACCGAUAAAUAAAUAAAGCUUAAGGGUGCGCCCAGGCUCUGGUUCGUCACUUGGGGGGGUGGGGACGUCCUUGAGGACAAGGGGACGUGUCCUUGAAUUGUCCCCACCGCCGGGAUUGUCCCCGACAGCCCCCAGGAUCCCCCGGCUGGAUGUCCCCAGGCUGUGGGGGACAAGGGAUUUACUGAAAUCUGUGAUAAACGCGGAAUUUGGGGCAAGCCAGCCUGAGACGCGACGCCUGGACCAGCUGAGGGGCCCUGAGGGUUGUCACCCCCCUGCCACCCGCGAUGUGGACGUCGGAUGUCACCGGGGCCACCAGCCCCACUGAGGUGUCCCCGGAGCUGCUGAAGCCGCUGGUGGACGUGGUGGCCACCAUGGGCAAGCUGGGGGCCACCAGCGGGCACAUUCCCCUGGCCAAGCCAUGGGAAUCGCUGCGGGGUGGCCUCCUCACCUUCAGGGCCGGCGUGCGCGAGGCCGUGAUCCACCGCGAUGGGGAGGCCGCCCGCCUGCGCCGAGCCCUGGCCACCACCGCCACCGAAGGGCCCGGUGUCCCCGCGGCCACCGCGGUGGCCACCGUCAGCGGCUGGCUGAAGGCGGUGGCCACCGUGGAGGCCGCCUGGGCAAAGCUGAAGGCGGAGGCCACCGGCCUGAAGGACGCCUGCGCGGUGGUCGCCGAAACCGGGGCCACCGCCGGGGCCACCGCCGGGGCCGCCAUGGGCAAGCUGGCGGAGGCGAUUGCCCGGGAGGACGAGGCCUGCAAGAAUCUGCGGGCUACCACCCACCUCCUGCCGCUGGCCUUGGAGCCCACCGAGCCGGCCGAGAAGAUGGAAGCCCACGACGCGCGGCUGGCGGGGGCCCAGGCGGGGCUGCAGGCGGCCAGCAAGGCCACCGAGGAGGAGGCGGUGGUGGUGGCGCACAUGAUGAAGGCCAAGGAGUGGGGACAGCGCGCGGCGGUGGCCUGCGAGCUUUUGGGGCAGCUGGUGGUGGCCUGUGACGGCGCCCACCGCUACUACUGCCACCUGCAGCGCUGCCUCAAGGACAUCGAGGCCAUGGUGGGCCCCGAGGCCACGCAGGGGGACGCGGGCAGCCCCAAAGGGCUGGCGGAGGCGGUGGCGGUGGCCGAGGCUCUGUGGGUCGCCAGCGCCCGCCUGGCCCAGGAGCACCUCCUGGGGAUGCUGAAGGUGGUCCACGUGCUGCUGACCACCGGUGGCACCACCGAUGGCACCGCCGAAGCCACGGACCUGGCCCGGCGCUGCCAAGAUGCCACCACCGCCCUCCCGGGGCUGCUGCCACCGGGGCUCGCGUAGGGGACGGUGGCUUUGGUGGCACCCAAAGGCAAUGGGUCAUGGAGCAGGAGCGUUUUGGGUGGAAAAAGGGCCUUCAAGGACACCAAGGCCAGGCUGAGCCAUGUCCCCUAGAGCCACGUCCCCCAGUGCCACCUCCCUUAGAGCCAAAUCCCUUAGUGCCACGUCCCCCAGUGCCAUGUCCCCUAGCGCCACAUCCUUUAGUGCCUUAUUGGCAAAAAAUUGAUUGAUUAAAUUGAUUAAAAAAACGGGACGUGGAGCGAUAAAAUGAGAAACCGAUGGACAAAAAUCAAUAAAAAGGAGAAAUAGUUUGAAAAAGUUUGAAAU
rnacentral:lncRNA from 1 species